AUUGAACGCUGGCGGCAGGCCUAACACAUGCAAGUCGAACGGUAACAGGAAGCAGCUUGCUGCUUUGCUGACGAGUGGCGGACGGGUGAGUAAUGUCUGGGAAACUGCCCGAUGGAGGGGGAUAACUACUGGAAACGGUAGCUAAUACCGCAUAACGUCGCAAGACCAAAGAGGGGGACCUUAGGGCCUCUUGCCAUCGGAUGUGCCCAGAUGGGAUUAGCUAGUAGGUGGGGUAACGGCUCACCUAGGCGACGAUCCCUAGCUGGUCUGAGAGGAUGACCAGCCACACUGGAACUGAGACACGGUCCAGACUCCUACGGGAGGCAGCAGUGGGGAAUAUUGCACAAUGGGCGCAAGCCUGAUGCAGCCAUGCCGCGUGUAUGAAGAAGGCCUUCGGGUUGUAAAGUACUUUCAGCGGGGAGGAAGGGAGUAAAGUUAAUACCUUGGCUCAUUGACGUUACCCUCAGAAGAAGCACCGGCUAACUCCGUG
rnacentral:rRNA from 1 species